ACUUUCAUUAUGUUGGUGUAUAUCUGGUUUAAUAUUAUCGUUGAAUAAGCGAGUUUGUGUAAUUUUAUUUAAGCCAAGUCUAUGUGCUGCUUAUGAAAGUAUUCAUGCGUUACAUUUAUAAGGUUUUAGCUGUGAUGUUAAAAUAUUUAGGACUUAAAAGUAAUGUUUAAUAAGUUUGUGAACGUGAAGUAAGUUUAGCUCA
rnacentral:rRNA from 1 species